AGCACAUCCUUUGUACUCAUUUAGAAACGUAACUCUGAAUUUCUCUGUCUCUGCAAAGGGGUAAUUCCUGGGUGUUCUUCAGUGGUGAGUGAAGGCAUUUUUGCACAUGCUAUCGGAUGAACUGAGUCUAGAAUUUUGGUGAGACAUAUUUGAUACCGAAAAAAGUGAACCCCAGGAGAGGGCUCCAAGCUUCAGCUCUUGUCUGAGACUGUCCUGCACUGUGGCUGUAUGAUUACCAUAGCCCUUGACUUCUGAAUGGCAAAUGGCACCUGAAAGAGAAAUCACUAAGUCACAGGGUCGGCUCCAUCCUACUCCUCUAUACUAUACAGGUGACCUUCCUGCUUCCUGCUUCCUGCUUCCUGCUUCCUGCUUCCUGCUUCCUGCUUCCUGCUUCCUGCUUCCUGCUUCAGACUGCAGAUAAAGCCACAAUGUAAGGUUCCAGGUGGCCACACUUAUUUGGAGACACCAUUUAACACGGUUCUGCUUCUACUUCCAUGAGAACCUAGUGAAGAAGACACAGCCAGAGCUUUGAUCAAAGAUUCCAAAUGCAAAUACAACUAACCACCCAACUGGUCCCAUCAGCCAAUGUAUCUCUUUGUUACCUCAAGGGAGAUUGAUUUACGCUUUCAUCAAUAAAUCUUCAUAUUUUCAA
rnacentral:lncRNA from 1 species